CGACUGUGGACGACUGUGGACGACGGUGGACGACGGUGGACGACGGUGGAUGACGGUGGACGACGGUGGAUGACGGUGGACGACGGUGGAUGACGGUGGACGACGGUGGACGACGUUGCACGAUGGUGGACGACUGGACAUCAAUGGACAUCGUUUGAUAUCGGUGCACAUGAUUGGAUGACGUUGGACGAUAUUGGACGAUGUUGGACAACGUGGGACUGCAUUGAAUCACGAUGAUCAACAUAGGAGAAUAAUAUCAAUUUUCUUUUUAUAAUUUCUUAUAUUCCAUUUAUCAGUGGACAUCAAUGACCAUUGAUUGACAUCGGUGGACAUCGUUGGAUGACGUUGGACGAUGUUGGACGAGAUUGAACGACAUUGGACGACAUUGAACGACGUCGGACAACAUUGAACGACGUUGACGAUAUUGGACGGCAUGAUAAUGAACAUACGACAUAGAUUUUAAUUUCUUUGAUAUAAUUUCUUAUAUUCAAUGUAAAUCAUAAGAUGCAUGCAUCUUAGAUUUAGGUCCUAGUAUAAUAAGUAUAAUAUAAGAUUUAGUAUUAAUAUCUAGAAUAAGUUAAUUUAUGAUUUCAUCGAUGGAUAUCGAUGGACAACGUUGGACGUCGUUGGAUCGCGAAAAUCAAUAUAGCGUACAGAUUUUAAUUUCCUUUUUCUAAUUUCUUAUAUGUGAUGUAUUAAUGGACAUCGGUGGACAUUGGUAGGUAUCGUUAGACGAAGUUGGACGAUGUUGGAUCAUGAUAAUUAUCAUACGACAUAGAUUUUAAUUUCUUUUUUUAUAUUUUCUUAUAUUUAUGUGUAACGAUGGAGAAUGCUGGAAGGCGUUGGAUCACGAUAAUCAUUUUAUUAUAAUUUGUUAUAUUUGAUGUAUCGAUGGACAAUCGAUCGACGACGUUGGACGAUGUUUGAUCACGAUAAUCAAAAUACGACAUAGAUAUUAAUUUCUCUUUUUUAAAUUUCUUAUAUUCGAUGUAACGAUGGAGAAUAUUGGACAACGUUGGAUCACGAUAAUCAAUAUACGAUAUAGCUUUUAAUAUGAUUAGACUUCUUUAUUAUAAUUUGUUAUAUUUGAUGUAUCGAUGGACAAUCGAUCGACGACGUUGGACGAUAUUUGAUCACGAUAAUCAGCAUACGACAUAGAUUUUAAUUUCUUUUUUUAAAAUUUCUUAUAUUCGAUGUAACCAUGGAGAAUGUUGAACGGCGUUGGAUCACGAUAAUUAGCGAUACGACAUAGAUUUUAAUUUCUUUAUUAUAAUUACUUGUAUUCGAUGUAUCGAUGGAAAACAAUGGACAUCGAUGGACAACGUAGGACAACGUUGUAUCACGAUAGUCAAUAUAGAAUACGGAUUUUAAUUUCUUUUUAUAAUUUCUUAUAUUCGAUGUAACGAUGGAAAAUAUUGGACAACGUUGGAUCACAAUCAACAUACGAUAUAGCUUUCAAUAUUAUUAGGUUUCUUUAUUAUAAUUUGUUAUAUUCGAUAUAUCGAUGGACAACGAUGGACAUCGAUCGACGACGUUGGACGAUAUUUGAUCCCGAUAAUCAGCAUACGACAUAUUUUUUAAUUUCUUUAUUAUAAUUACUUGUAUUCGAUGUAUCGAUGGAAAACAAUGGACAUCGAUGAACAACGUGGGACAACGUUGGAUCACGAUGGUCAGUAUAGAAUAUGGAUUUUAAUUUCCUUUUUAUAAUUUCUUAUAUUCGAUGUAACGAUGGAGAAUAUUGGACAACGUUGGAUCACAAUAAUCAACAUACGAUAUAGCUUUCAAUAUUAUUAGGUUUCUUUAUUAUAAUUUGUUAUAUUCGAUAUAUCGAUGGACAACGGUGGACAUCGAUCGACGACGUUGGACGAUAUUUGAUCCCGAUAAUCAGCAUACGACAUAGAUUUUAAUUUCUUUUUUUAUAAUUUCUUAUAUUCGAUGUAACGAUGGACAAUUUUCGACGGCGUUGGACCACGAUAAUCAACAUAAGAUAUAGCUUUUAAAAUGAUUAGAUUUCUUUAUUGUAAUUUAUUAUAUUCGACGUAAAUCAUAAGAUGCAUGCAUCUUAGAUUUAGGUCCUAGUUUUUCGAAUAAUGUAAGAUAGAUAUAAGAUGUAAGAUAUAUGUAAGAUAAAUGUAAGAUAGAUGUAAGAUAGAUGUAAGAUUUAGUAUUAAGAUCUAGUAUAAGUUAAAUUUAAGGCUUCAUCGAUGGAUGACGUUGGACAACGAUGAAUAAUUUAUUUACCAAUUGUAUCAUAUUUUUUUUCUAUGUAAUAUAAGAUUUGAUUUGUAGAUAAUUCAUUGUAUCAUUUCAAUGUAUUAGUCAAUAAAUUAUUCAAUAAAUUCAACCUUAU